GUGAAGAUCUGCAUCUGGGCCUAGUGGUCUCCACUUACAGAGCCAGAGGCAGCUGCAUGAGUCAGUGGGAAGAAAUACUGAGUCAUUUGCAAGAAAAUUAUGAAAAAAAAAAAUUGGACAAGACUGGGUGGAGAAUGAAAAGGAACAACAAGAAGAAAUGAAUGGAAUAGAAUACAGAAACUCAGAGCAGGAGCCAAGUCAAAGACAAUCACUUAUACUGGGACCCAGAGGGAGAAGAGAGAGAAAUGAGGGUGAGGAGAAGGUCAGAAAAGAUCAGAAGAUGGAGCAUGUAUACCCAAAAUAUUUUCAGCCGCAAAGCGUAUGUCUACAAAUGAAAGGAGUGUCUUGUGCCAACACCGUCUUGUGACAAAAUGAGAUUUGAGUCUGGUCGACUGAAAGAAAUCAAGCACUUAACAGAGUGCACGGGAGUGAUAUUCAGCGUAAAGAUUAAAUUUAAUCUAUAUUUUAAUCUACCUUAGUACAAGAAAUUGAGCAACACAAAACUCAUUUUUCCCUAGUUAAAAUAUGCUUUAAAGGGAUUAGUUGACAGGUCUCUACUUCAAUCGAUUAAAAAAAAAAAAAAAAACCUUUUAAAAUUAUGCCAGCACUCUUUGGACCACCACCCCUUCCCUUAAGUCUCUGCCA